rnacentral:RNase_P_RNA from 1 species
GUAUUGCAGUGGCUGGUAGCUUGGCUUAUGCCAAGAGGAAAGUCCGGACUGCACAGAGCAGGGGUUGGGUCGUUAAGAUCCAGGGGGUUUGUAAGCAACCCUACGGUUCUUUUUUAUGGAAACAUAAAAAAGACAGAAAGAGAAAUAACUCUUUCUGAGAGCCACAGAGACGAGCUUUCUUCUAAGGCUUUAUAGCUAUUGAAGAAAGAGUGAAACGCGGCAAUCCCACCCGCAGCAACCCAAAUUAGCGCGAGAACUUGCUCGGUUCGCUAAAAGCGCAUGGUAGGGGCAUAGAUAAAUUACCAGCACCGCUUUGCGGUACAGAAUCCGGCUUAUAACUGCACUUGCUUA